rnacentral:rRNA from 1 species
UACGUAGGGUGCGAGCGUUGUCCGGAAUUAUUGGGCGUAAAGGGGCUCGUAGGCGGUCUGUUGCGUCGGUAGUGAAAACUCAGGGCUUAACCCUGAGCCUGCUUCCGAUACGGGCAGACUAGAGGUAUGCAGGGGAGAACGGAAUUCCCGGUGUAGUGGUGGAAUGCGUAGAUAUCGGGAGGAACACCAGUGGCGAAGGCGGCUUCCUGGACCAGAGCUGACACUGAGGCGCGAAAGCGUGGGGAGCGAUCCGG